CCCACAUCCUUCUAGAGGAGCCUGUCCUACAACCGAUACUCCCCGUUUAACCUCACCACCCUUAGCUUUUCAGCUUGUAUACUUCCGUCGUCAGCUUACCGCAUGAGCGAAUAAGUAAGCUUAACGUCCUCAUCAACACGUCAGGUCAAAGUGCAGCACAUAGUGUGGCAAGAGAUGGGCUACACUUUCUACCCUAGAAAAUACGAAAGACUACAUGAAACCACAUUCAGAAGGCGGAUUUAGCAGUAAGGAGGGAAUAGAAUGCCCCCCUUAACCUGGCACUGGGGUGUGUACACACCGCCCGUCACCCUCUUCAACAAAUUACUCAGUUCUUAACAACUAAUCCACUUAAAGAAGAGGCAAGUCGUAACAUGGUAAGUA
rnacentral:rRNA from 1 species